rnacentral:rRNA from 1 species
CGGUAACCUGCCCUAUGGUCGAGCAUAACCUCGGGAAACUGAGGGUAAUUCUCGAUAGAAGAUUCUUCCUGGAAUGGUGUUUCUUCCAAACACGUGCCAUAGGAUGGGCCGGCGGCUGAUUAGGCUGUUGGUGGGGUAACGGCCCACCAAACCUAUGAUCAGUACGGGCCUUGAGAGAGGUAGCCCGGAGAGGGACACUGAGAUACGGGUCCCAGCCCCACGGGGUGCAGCAGGCGCGAAACCUUUACAAUGCACGAAAGUGUGAUAGGGGGAUACUCAGUGCUUACGGUUAUGCUGUAGGCUUUUGUCGAUCGUAAAUAGAUCGGCGAAUAAGUGGUGGGUAAGACUGGUGCCAGCCGCCGCGGUAACCCCAGCGCCACAAGUGGUCAUCGCGAUUAUUGGGCCUAAAGCGUUCGUAGCCGGUUUGGUGCAUCUCUUGUGAAAUUGUUCGGCUUAACCGAACAGCGUGCAGGAGACACGGCCAGACUCGAGACCGGGAGGCGUAUGAAGUAUUCCAUGGGGACUGGUAAAAUGGGAUAAUCCAUGGAAGACUACCGAUGGCGAAGGCAUCAUACGAGAACGGAUCUGACGGUGAGGAACGAAAGCUAGGGGAGCGAACCGGAUUAGAUACCCGAGUAGUCCUAGCCGUAAACGCUGCGAGCAAGGUGUCGCGCAUCUCACGAAGAUGCGCGGUGUCGAAACGAAGGUGAUAAGCUCGCCGCCUGGGAAGUACGGUCGCAAGACUGAAACUUUAAGGGAAUUGGCGGGGGCGCACUACAAGGGGUGCGGCGUGCGGUUUAAUCCAACUCAACGCGGAGCACCUUACUAGGGGCGACGGCAGGGAUGAAGAUCGUGCUGAAGACACUAUCAGACGAGCCCG